rnacentral:rRNA from 1 species
GACGAACCGUGCGAACGUUAUUCGGAAUCAUUGGGCGUAAAGCGCGUGUAGGCGGCCCGGUAAGUCCGCUGUGAAAGUCCAGGGCUCAACCCUGGGAUGCCGGUGGAUACUGUCGGGCUCGAGUCCGGAAGAGGCGAGUGGAGUUCCUGGUGUAGCGGUGAAAUGCGCAGAUAUCAGGAAGAACACCCGUGGCGAAAGCGGCUCUCUGGAACGGUACUGACGCUGAGACGCGAAAGCGUGGGGAGCGAACAGG